UUGCCUAUGAAGAUACCUCAUUCGAAAACACCAUGUUUUGGCACUGAUUGGCAUUUGUAGCCAUGAUGCCAUUCUGCAAUUUUGAGGCAU